rnacentral:rRNA from 1 species
CAUUCGGAUUGUAGUCUGNAACCCGACUACAUGAAGCUGGAAUCGCUAGUAAUCGCAGAUCAGAAUGCUGCGGUGAAUACGUUCCCGGGUCUUGUACACACCGCCCGUCACACCAUGGGAGUUGGAAAUGCCCGAAGCCAGUGACCCAACCGUAAGGAGGGAGCUGUCGAAGGUGGAGCCGAUGACUGGGGUGAAGUCGUAACAAGGUAAC